UACGUAGGGUGCAAGCGUUGUCCGGAAUUAUUGGGCGUAAAGAGCUCGUAGGCGGUUUGUCGCGUCUGCUGUGAAAACUCGGGGCUUAACCCCGGGCCUGCAGUGGGUACGGGCAGACUGGAGUUCGGUAGGGGAGACUGGAAUUCCUGGUGUAGCGGUGAAAUGCGCAGAUAUCAGGAGGAACACCGGUGGCGAAGGCGGGUCUCUGGGCCGAUACUGACGCUGAGGAGCGAAAGCGUGGGGAGCGAACAGG
rnacentral:rRNA from 1 species